CCACAGAAGUCUUGCAACUGUGCUGACAGCUGCAGCCAUUUCACACAACAGUCUUAUCUUUUCUGCACAGGACAGAAAACAUGCUGUACUCUCAUAUUAAAAAAGGAAAAAAAAUCAAUACAAAGAAUUCCAAAGAGUGUCUGGUUAUUUCUUAGCAUAAGUGAUUUUCAUGGCAUGAGACGGAGUUAUCUUGAAUCCUUGGAGAGCAUCUCGAGCAGCUCCUGCUUGACAUUCAUUUUCAAACUCCACAAAUGCAAUGUCAUGACGCCCAGGCACUAAACGUACUUCUUUGAAUCCAGGAAACUGAUUGAAUAACAUGGACAGCAUCAUCUCAUUUGUUUCCUCAGGCAGAUUAUUAAGGAAAAGAAUAUAGUUUGGUGGGUUAUCAGGCACCUGCUGAUUCUGAGGUGAAGUCCCAGGGGCACUGGUUGAAUUUUGUGUUGCUCCCUGAAUUAUCUUUUUAUUUGCUGCAUUAGCUGACUGCUCCAGAGACUUGGCCUUCUUCUUUUCCUUCCUCUUCUCCUUGUCGGCAAAAGUACCACGCAUUUUAGAGAUGAUAUCAGAGUCUGUUUUGGCAUACUGAAUACGCAUCGGUUUCCCAUAAAAUGGAAAGCCUUGCAGCUGCCUCAGAGCAUUAGUGGACGAUCCUAGUUCUUUAAAUAUAACAAAAGCCUGUCCUCUCAUUUUCAUAGUCUUCAAAGCCACAAUGUCAACCACAUGACCAAACUGUGAGAAUAACGCAUAUAAGGACCUCUUCAAUUCUUCUUUCUUAAUCUUGUCAUUGAUGUUGUUGAUGUAAAUGGUGUGGUUGGGCCUGAUGUCCAUGCUCUAAGCCGGCCGCAGACCCGCCUGCAC
rnacentral:lncRNA from 1 species